rnacentral:rRNA from 1 species
GUCGAACGAUGAUCCGGUGCUUGCAUCGGGGAUUAGUGGCGAACGGGUGAGUAACACGUGAGUAACCUGCCCUUAACUCUGGGAUAAGCCUGGGAAACUGGGUCUAAUACCGGAUAUGACUCCUCAUCGCAUGGUGGGGGGUGGAAAGCUUUAUUGUGGUUUUGGAUGGACUCGCGGCCUAUCAGCUUGUUGGUGAGGUAAUGGCUCACCAAGGCGACGACGGGUAGCCGGCCUGAGAGGGUGACCGGCCACACUGGGACUGAGACACGGCCCAGACUCCUACGGGAGGCAGCAGUGGGGAAUAUUGCACAAUGGGCGCAAGCCUGAUGCAGCGACGCCGCGUGAGGGAUGACGGCCUUCGGGUUGUAAACCUCUUUCAGUAGGGAAGAAGCGAAAGUGACGGUACCUGCAGAAGAAGCGCCGGCUAACUACGUGCCAGCAGCCGCGGUAAUACGUAGGGCGCAAGCGUUAUCCGGAAUUAUUGGGCGUAAAGAGCUCGUAGGCGGUUUGUCGCGUCUGCCGUGAAAGUCCGGGGCUCAACUCCGGAUCUGCGGUGGGUACGGGCAGACUAGAGUGAUGUAGGGGAGACUGGAAUUCCUGGUGUAGCGGUGAAAUGCGCAGAUAUCAGGAGGAACACCGAUGGCGAAGGCAGGUCUCUGGGCAUUAACUGACGCUGAGGAGCGAAAGCAUGGGGAGCGAACAGGAUUAGAUACCCUGGUAGUCCAUGCCGUAAACGUUGGGCACUAGGUGUGGGGGACAUUCCACGUUUUCCGCGCCGUAGCUAACGCAUUAAGUGCCCCGCCUGGGGAGUACGGCCGCAAGGCUAAAACUCAAAGGAAUUGACGGGGGCCCGCACAAGCGGCGGAGCAUGCGGAUUAAUUCGAUGCAACGCGAAGAACCUUACCAAGGCUUGACAUGAACCGGAAAGACCUGGAAACAGGUCCCCCACUUGUGGUCGGUUUACAGGUGGUGCAUGGUUGUCGUCAGCUCGUGUCGUGAGAUGUUGGGUUAAGUCCCGCAACGAGCGCAACCCUCGUUCCAUGUUGCCAGCGCGUAAUGGCGGGAACUCAUGGGAGACUGC